AUUGAACGCUGGCGGCAGGCCUAACACAUGCAAGUCGAGCGAGCGGCGGACGGGUGAGUAAUGUAUGGGGACUGCCUGAUGGCGGGGGAUAACUACUGGAAACGGUAGCUAAUACCGCAUACUAUCGGAUAACCCAUAUGGGAUUAGCUAGUAGGUGGGGUAAAGGCUCACCUAGGCGACGAUCCCUAGCUGGUCUGCGAGGAUGAUCAGCCACACUGGAACUGAGACACGGCCCAGACUCCUACGGAGGCAGCAGUGGGGAAUAUUGCGCAAUGGGCGAAAGCCUGAUGCAGCCAUGCCGCGUGUAUGAAGAAGGCCUUAGGGUUGUAAAGUACUUUCAGCGGGGAGGCGUUACCCACAGAGGAAGCACCGGCUAACUCCGUGCCAGCAGCCGCGGUAAUUC
rnacentral:rRNA from 1 species